UGACUCAGGCGUCUCUUAUACAGGUGUCCACAUACGCGUACACGUAGACGUUGGGUAUUAUACUGCAGAUCUCAUCUGCGUUGCUCGCGCUGGAGAUUGUCGCUAUUACAACUUCCACCCGUACUUGUCUUCUGUCUCUCUGUUUUCGCGACACGGCCUUUUUUACCUUCCUUGCAUUGUCUGUGGCGCACAUCGCUCCCAUCGACAGCUGUGCGUGUGCCGAAGCACUUGCAGCAGCGUUACUGUUAUCGGUCUUCAAGAAAAAAAAAUACGGCCGCCCCCUCUAUUCGUGCCGCUGCUGCACACCUUCCUUUCCCAUUGGUCGUGGGGGCACGACUAUCGACUGCGCAACGCAUCUUUAUCCCUUCCUCAUACCCCUCCUCCCGUGACGCCACACGUGCGCUAUAUCGCGGUUGUGUGCGUGCCCGUUAGUGUUGGUGAGAGUCAGUGCGCGUGCGUUGCCUCGUGAAGGAGUUGGCGCUUUUUGUGUGUUCCGUCCGCUCUUAUGUCAGCUCUUUUUACGCCUUCCGCAUCACCGUCUCUGUGCAGCUCGCUCGCUGUCCUCUACGACUCCAGCGAAGCCUCGGCUGUCUGCGCGAGGGCGUUGUUGGCCAUGGCCAUCACCGUGCACGUGGGCAAUCAGGUGGAGAGACCCGCACGCAAUGCACUGCGUGUGCUCGUGCCCCUCUUCACCUGCCUCUUCUUCCUCUUGUACAUCACGGGAACGUUCAGCGUCUUCAGUCGCGUGCAGGAGAUUGUUCAGGCCGAGGAGACAUCUCUGCGCUCUGCGUCUGGGAUUGCGGAGUUCUGCAAGGAUCUGCAGAAGCUGGCGCAGCAGCAGUACUGGCAAGUGCUGUUCUUCAUCACGUCGCUCUACCUCACACUGCAAACGUUCUGCGUUCCCGGCACGGUGGUGUUGAACGCCGCAGUCGGGGCGGUUAUGGGCACCUUGUCGGGUGUGCCCUACUGCACCGUGUUGGGGACCAUGGGCUCGAUGUGCUGCUUCCUGUUCUCCCGCAUCGUCGGCACGUCGCUUGUGGAGGCGGUGGACGCGCGGCUGAUGCGCGGAAAGGGCCUCACAAAAAUUCGCAGCCAAGUCUCCCAUCACCGCGCGGACUUGUUCGUGUAUUUGCUUUUUCUUCGUCUGACCCCCAUUUUGCCGAACUGGCUAGUGAACCUGGCCUCCCCGGUGCUCGGGGUGCCGCUGCACACGUUCGCGGGGGCGACACUGUUAGGCAUCGUGCCGCAGACGUACUUGACCGUGCGCUUCGGCUCGUUGGCGCACUCGGGGGGACCUGGGGAGAAGAAACGCAUUGUCACGCCGUGGGACACGCUGCUGCUGGCCGUCACCGGAGUGAGCAUCCUCGUCGGGUUCCGGCUCAAGAAGAAAUUCGCGCAGAGCCGGAAGGACGGCGGCAGUGGUGGAGUCGCCGCGGACAGGUUCUCUGGCAUCACCGCAUCAAGCGGUAGCGUAUGUGCGCCGCCGCUGGUGUAGCAUGACAGCCACACUGCAGGAACCGUGAGCUGCCAAAGGCUUUGGCGCACUCCUUGCCUGGGCACUUGAGCUGCUGCCGGCGGGUCGUGUGUACGGCAGCCACACUAAAAACAUCGAACACACUUGAUGCGCCCACGCAUACGCGCACACGGGCGCGCGACACCUUCAAACAGAAGUACUGCGCUGCCAUCGCACACCGGCGCGCACACGGGGCCGAUCUGCCUCCUCCCUGCGCGCUUCUCUUCCCUUUCCUGUCUAUGUGAAGGAGCGCCUCACCUGUCGCAGCGUUGCCGGCGGCUCUUUCUCGAGUCUUUAGCACGCCGUUGCUCGUCCAGAGAUGGACAGUUGCGUUGAUCGCCAUCUCCUGCACCCUCCUCUCCACUUCUUUUUGUGUCCCCUGCCGCUGUGUCGAUCGCGGCGAG
rnacentral:misc_RNA from 1 species